rnacentral:rRNA from 1 species
UUGCUCCUACGGGGGGCAGCAGUAGGGAAUUUUCGUCAAUGGGCGCAAGCCUGAACGAGCAAUGCCGCGUGAACGAGGAAGGUCUUCGGAUCGUAAAGUUCUGUUGAAGGGGAAAAAGAGCGGAGAGAGGAAAUGGUCUCCGAUUGAUAUUACCCUUCGAGGAAGUCACGGCUAACUACGUGCCAGCAACCGCGGUAAUACGUAGGUGGCGAGCGUUAUCCGGAAUGAUUGGGCGUAAAGGGUGCGUAGGCGGGAAGCCAAGUCAGCUGUGAAAACUACGGGCUUAACU